rnacentral:rRNA from 1 species
GGUUUGAUUCUGGCUCAGAACGAACGCUGGCGGCGCGCUUAACACAUGCAAGUCGAACGGCAACGGGUCCUUCGGGAUGCCGGCGAGUGGCGAACGGGUGAGUAACGCGUGGAUACCUGCCCUAUGGUGGGGAAUAACGUCUAGAAAUGGACGCUAAUACCGCAUAAGCCCUAUGGGGGAAAGAUUUAUUGCCAUGGGAGGGGUCCGCGUCGGAUUAGCUAGUUGGUGGGGUAACGGCCUACCAAGGCGACGAUCCGUAGCUGGUCUGAGAGGAUGAUCAGCCACACUGGGACUGAGACACGGCCCAGACUCCUACGGGAGGCAGCAGUGGGGAAUAUUGCGCAAUGGGGGAAACCCUGACGCAGCGACGCCGCGUGGGUGAAGAAGGCCUUAGGGUUGUAAAGCCCUUUCAGUGGGAAAGAUGAUGACGGUACCCACAGAAGAAGCUCCGGCUAACUCCGUGCCAGCAGCCGCGGUAAUACGGAGGGGGCUAGCGUUGUUCGGAAUUACUGGGCGUAAAGGGCGCGUAGGCGGUUGAUCAAGUCAGGAGUGAAAGCCUCGUGCUCAACGCGGGAACUGCUUCUGAAACUGGUCGACUAGAGUACGGUAGA